UACGAAGGGGGCUAGCGUUGCUCGGAAUCACUGGGCGUAAAGGGUGCGUAGGCGGGUCUUUAAGUCAGGGGUGAAAUCCUGGAGCUCAACUCCAGAACUGCCUUUGAUACUGAAGAUCUUGAGUCCGGGAGAGGUGAGUGGAAUUCCUAGUGUAGAGGUGAAAUUCGUAGAUAUUAGGAAGAACACCAGUGGCGAAGGCGGCUCACUGGCCCGGUACUGACGCUGAGGCGCGAAAGCGUGGGGAGCAAACAGG
rnacentral:rRNA from 1 species